AGCGAGGCGGCCGGAGUGCCGGUGGGGCUGGGGUGCGGGCAGGGGCGCGGGGUGCGGGCAGGGCCGCCGCUCUCCCGGCUUCCCGCCUAGUGAGCGCACCUUGGACCCCUGCGGCUUUUCCGAGCCGAAACUCACGGGCUGUGGCCGGCUUCGUUUCGCGUCGUGCAGCUCCGCGACCGCCCGUGGCCACACCAGUCGGGGACUUCGUGCUUUACGAUGGGGGCGCAGCGGUCUGGCACGCGCAGGACCCCGGGCCUUGCACCCCAACGCUGGCCGCCCUGGACCCGCGGCGGGGACCCGCGCAGUCAGGGUACCUGCCCAUACCGAUGGGGUGGGGACCAGCACGGAGACUUUCCUUCACCCCGCGGCUUCUGUUCCUUUCAGGACGGACAGCGCCCACCCGGAGGAAAGCCUGACAGAUGAGACUUCGCAAGCUGCUGUGGCCCUGAAGGUGGGUGGUGGGAAGAACGGGAGAAUGAAGCCAGCCUUGGGAGAGGUAGGACGCCAGCCCGGCCCAGCUGCUUCCAGCAUCUGGAUCCAGCCUCACCUGAAGCCAGCCACCUCCUGGACUGCAAAGUCAUUGUCAACACCGAAACACAGGGUUUCUGACCAUUGCAACCCAGGGUCCCGGCGUGUCGUGGCUGCAGACCCUGCAGACCCCUAUGAAGAUGGUCCUGCCUGCCUUGCAUCGGGCCUCUAGCUAGGGACUGUGGUUGCAGACGUAGUUCUGGGACUGAGCUCCUGGUGAGAGGCCAGUGGUGAGGGAAGAGAGACCAGCAGAGAAAAGAGUGGAGCCUCGGGCUGCUAGCAGAGUGGCAGAAACCGAGCCUGCGAGAGGAAAACAUUGUUUCCCGCGGCCUCCUGCUGAGCCAUGGGGACCCAGAUAUUGCGAAGUCCAGCUGGGGCCAACCCUAAGGAAGGAAGGAGGGAAGGGGACAGGGAGGGGUGAGGAGGAGAGGGAGGGAGUGACCUCUGCUUAGCACCUGCACUUGAGCAGCGGUGGCCUUUCACGCGCACACGCUUCCCCACCUGGAGCGCCGUCUCCAAUGCUGUUUGUACACACACCAGCAUUCUGACAGUCACUAAAUGUUUUCUUUGAAUGAGUUCACUUUUUCACCUAGAGUGCUUUCUAAAAGCAGACCAUGAUCGUGAAUAGUAAGUAUCACUUCCAUAAAUAGAAAGUGUCAGAAAAAUAACUAUCAGACGUUUUCAGCUUCUUGUCUUGCUUGGAAGCAUCAGACGGUCUCUGAAAUGCUGUCCCUCUGCUCCCCAGGUUGGCCCAUCCUCUGCCACAGCUUGAGCCCCACCCACGGGGUCCCUGCUUGAUGAGUGCUUCCCCUGUCCUCUGAGACCCUACUUCUGCCCCCGG
rnacentral:lncRNA from 10 species